rnacentral:pre_miRNA from 13 species
UCAGGGGUUGUGUUAGCUGUUGGACACUGCUCAAGAUUAGGUUGGUUACUCUUGUGCGUGUGACAGCGGCUAUCACAGCUCUUGCUCAGCCCCAU